GAUGAACGCUGGCGGCGUGCCUAAUACAUGCAAGUCGAGCGAACAGACGAGGAGCUUGCUCCUCUGACGUUAGCGGCGGACGGGUGAGUAACACGUGGAUAACCUACCUAUAAGACUGGGAUAACUUCGGGAAACCGGAGCUAAUACCGGAUAAUAUAUUGAACCGCAUUGUUCAAUAGUGAAAGACGGUUUUGCUGUCACUUAUAGAUGGAUCCGCGCCGCAUUAGCUAGUUGGUAAGGUAACGGCUUACCAAGGCAACGAUGCGUAGCCGACCUGCGAGGGUGAUCGGCCGCACUGGAACUGAGACACGGUCCAGACUCCUACGGGAGGCAGCAGUAGGGAAUCUUCCGCAAUGGGCGAAAGCUUGACGGAGCAACGCCGCGUGAGUGAUGAAGGUCUUCGGAUCGUAAAACUCUGUUAUUAGGGAAGAACAAAUGUGUAAGUAACUAUGCACGUCUUGACGGUACCUAAUCAGAAAGCCACGGCUAACUACGUG
rnacentral:rRNA from 1 species